GGGUGAUUAGCUCAGCUGGGAGGCACCUCCCUUACAAGGAGGGGGUCGGCGGUUCGAUCCCGUCAUCACCCACCA
rnacentral:tRNA from 1 species